rnacentral:tRNA from 1 species
GUAAGAAUGCGGUAAUGGUUAACCGGUUAGGCUCAUGACCUAAAAAUACAAGUUCAAGUCUUGUUUCUUGCA